UACGGGGGGGGGCAAGCGUUGUCCGGAUUCAUUGGGCGUAAAGAGCGUGUAGGCGGCCAGGUAGGUCGGUUGUGAAAACUGGAGGCUCAACCUUCAGAGGUCGACCGAAACCAUCUGGCUAGAGUCCGGGAGAGGAGAGUGGAAUUCCUGGUGUAGCGGUGAAAUGCGCAGAUAUCAGGAAGAACACCCGUGGCGAAGGCGGUUCUCUGGGCCUUACCUGACGCUGAGGAGCGAAAGCGUGGGGAGCGAACAGG
rnacentral:rRNA from 1 species